AGUUGCCAUCGGUGAGGCCGGGCACUCUGGAUGGACUGCCGGCGACAAGCCGGAGGAAGGUGGGGAUGACGUCAAGUCAUCAUGGCCCUUAUGUCCAGGGCGACACACGUGCUACAAUGGCCGGCACAGCGGGAAGCGAAGGGGCGACUCUGAGCGGAUCCCUUAAAGCCGGUCCCAGUUCGGAUUGCAGUCUGCAACUCGACUGCAUGAAGUUGGAAUCGCUAGUAAUCGUGGAUCAGCCAAGCCGCGGUGAAUACGUUCCCGGGCCUU
rnacentral:rRNA from 1 species